AAUGGGGGCAACCCUGAUGGCGCGACGCCGCGUGGGGGAUGAAGGUCUUCGGAUUGUAAACUCCUGUCAUUGGGGACNAAUGGCCAGGCUCAUACCCUGGUUUGAAUUAACCCAAAGAGGAAGCAGUGGCUAACUCUGUGCCAGCAGCCGCGGUAAUACAGAGACUGCAAGCGUUACUCGGAUUCACUGGGCGUAAAGGGAGCGCAGGCGGACUCAUGUGUCGGACGUGAAAUACCGGGGCUUAACCCCGGUGCUGCGUCCGAAACUAUGAGUCUAGAGACUUGGAGGGGUAAGCGGAAUUCUNGGUGGAGCAGUGAAAUGCGUAGAUAUCANGAGGAACACCAACGGCGAAGGCAGCUUACUGGACAAGAUCUGACGCUCAGGCUCGAAAGCGUGGGGAGCAAACAGG
rnacentral:rRNA from 1 species